rnacentral:rRNA from 1 species
CACGUAGGGUGCGAGCGUUGUCCGGAAUUAUUGGGCGUAAAGAGCUCGUAGGCGGCUUGUCACGUCGGGUGUGAAAGCCCGGGGCUUAACCCCGGGUCUGCAUUCGAUACGGGCUGGCUAGAGUGCGGUAGGGGAGAUCGGAAUUCCUGGUGUAGCGGUGAAAUGCGCAGAUAUCAGGAGGAACACCGGUGGCGAAGGCGGAUCUCUGGGCCAUUACUGACGCUGAGGAGCGAAAGCGUGGGGAGCGAACAGG